rnacentral:lncRNA from 1 species
UAAAGUCUCACCUUUAUUUAACGGCAGAAUCUUUGGCCCAACUUUAAAUGUGUUAGCAGGUUUUAUUGGGCCACGUGGCUAACCCACCUAGCUCAGCUGAACCGCCCCAUUUAUCUUAUAAGAAAAUGGGGUUUUGCAUGGUCCAGAUGGAAGGAUGCUCUCUAGCAAGCUGAGAAGAGUUUUCUUCAUGUAUCCAUAAUUCAUUAUAUUUCUAUACAGGGCGGAACUAAUUUUUAUUUUAUACAUAUAUUAGGCGUUCUUUCGCGUGUUUAUCUGUUUUAUUUUUUGAAUAUUUUUAGUAAAACUCCUGCUUCCGUCACUGCCUCUAUAUAAAACUGCUUUUUGGGGAUCUUGGUUCUUGAAUUGGUAUGCAAGAUGAGUACACGGACACAAGGAUUGAGAAUAAGUUGGAUUUAUGGAUCAAUCACUAAUCAAAGAGCGAUGUUUGAUGAGUCUAUCGGUCUGUUCUUAAUAAGGGUAACUCAGUACGGUAAGUUUCUUUCAAAGAGUGACGACUUUCUGUCUUACCAUUUUGCUUUGGUGCUUAAAUAGUGAUAUCAACAAUAUAAUGUUAAUCUGGUGCAUAUUCAUUAGGGAAGCCGUUAAUAUUGUUAAAACUUAAAAGAGUUGUAUCACUUAUCAUAUCAGCAGAGUGGAGACCUAAUUUUAUGUGUUUGUUUGGUUUGAACCUGUUACUACUUAAUAAGAUAAAUUUUAAACUUUUAAAAUUAAGUCAUGUAGCAGUGAUGAUGCAACUACCCUUCUUGUCACAUCAAUUGUGUAAUGUAGAAAAUUAUUUAUUCAUUAAACAUGAGGAAUAAUAUUAACUUAAUAACUGUCAAGUUUUUAGGUUUGCAUAUCCAUCAAGUGACUCAUUAAGCUGCCAUUCCAUGUCAUGAAGAGCCCCUUUUUCUCCUCUUGUUAUGACGUUUUGGUUAGACACUAUAUUUGUUUUUUUUUGUUUUUUGUUUUUGUAAUCAGUAAUAAUUUUUUAAAAGUGCAUAAUCUUUAAAGAGAGAUAAAUCUUCAAAAUGGUGCGUAAUUCAACGACAAAGUUAUCGAACAUAUACUGUCAAGUUUCAUAAACAAAUUAAAGAUGAAGGUUUCAAAUGGGACGAUUUUAAAAGCAUUCACUAUAACUAUAACGAAUAUAUGUUCUUAAUUGAGACUAAUUAUUAGACGUAAAAAUUACUAAAUUACGAGAAAAAUGUAUAAUUCUAAAACUUUCUACAAUAUGAAAUAUAAGAAAAGGGUUGGAAUUAAUAACAUAGGGUUCAAAAUCAUAUAAGCUAAUUAAUUCUCAAUUGGUGCAUUGAUUUCGCUUUUAAUUCUUUCAGUGUCUACUGUAAAUAUUUUGUUCCCCUUAAAAAAUGUAAGGAAAUGUUUCUUUUAGUAUAUAUGUAGGACUCUAGCAAAGGUUGUGAUUCAAAAAAUUUCUUUCAUUCCCUUAUUUAAGAUUUUUUUUUAUAUUUUCAAAAGACAAAAACUAGCUUGAUAAUCGAUAAGUUUAACUAAUAUCAAUUCCACAAAAGAGUGAAAAUCAUGACGCUAGAUUGUCUUGAUUAUUGACAAAAAAGAAAGGAAAAACAUGAUGCAAGAGUUGUGGAUGAUGCGCAGCUGUUUUCUUUAAUAAAAAUACAAAAAACUUUUGAGGUGUUAGUUGAGUCCCUUCCGAAUACAAUGCAUCGACAUAGGACAACAUAGUACGUAAUCUUUUAGAAUACUAUUUAUUUCGUCAUUUAUCCAAAGAAAAGAAAGAUGGCCUGUUUAUUGCGGUGUCAUAGACUCAUAGUGGAAUAGACAUCCACGUAAUUUAGAAUUUAGAGUUAGUAUUUUCAUAAUGAAUGUAAUCUAUUCAUUGUACAUAUUUGGAAUUUUUACUUUUGUAUAUGCAUAUAUAUUCAAGCCAAAAAUAAUGAGCUCAAACAAAUCUAAAAAAACUAGCCUUAGGUCCACCUCUGAUUAUAAAAGAAGAAAAGGUAUAAUUGAGUGUGUGUAUAUAUAGAGAGAGAGUGGUAGUCUGAUGCCAACACGUACUUAGCUUAGCGUCCCAAAUUCAUGUGGCAAUUUAGCAAUCGAACUAUAUAUCUCUUUGGAGUAUUUUGAUGAAUUGGCUAAGUUGGCAAUGACCUGACAAAAUUGCUUUUUUUAAUCAAAGGAAAUAACAAGGACAAAAGAAAGAAGCAUGUCCAUGUACUUUUGCAGAUGGACCAGCCUAGAUAGGCAAGUGAAAUUGAGAUAUGCCACAAAUUCACUUCAUAUGUAAUUUGAUUGGAGAAUCCACAAUAUAAAGAAGCUAAGGAUUGCAUAUUUUUUCCCUAAAGUUUGAAAAUCAUAUGUGCAACUUAGCAAAAUUUCAAAUAAUUGUAUUUCGAAUUUAUUAUUUGGUCCGACCAAUUUAUUCCUUUGCAUGUUGCCGUACCACUGCUUCUGCCUUUAACAACAUUGAUUCACUUCAAAGGUUUUGUUUAUUUUUCCUUCUUUUAUGCAUUUGCUAAAAUCUUCUGUUUUCAUUUGGGUGGUCGAAAAACAAAAUCCUCUUUAUUAUGUAAAUGUAUUAUUGUAGGAAUCGAGAAUUCAUGUUAAGAUAAUUGAGUUUGAGUAUAGUAAAUGUUAGUAUAUAAAUUUUCUAUUUAUCUUUAAUUAUCUCUCUAUAUCCAAAAUUGUGUAUAAUGUAACUGCAGCUAUUUCACAUGAUUUUUUCAGAAAAAUAAAACAAAUCUUACACACUCUUGUAGUCCAUUAAACAUGCUAUUAUAUGACCCUUUCACAGGAGUACAAUAAAAAAUUGCACAUGAGAUCUUUAUAAAAUUAAUUCUUUAUAUUUAAAUUGUAAGUGGGCAUAGUAGAUUAUUUUAUAUGUACGCGUACCCGAGUCCGUAUAACAUAUAUAGAUAUCCACUCGUUUUUUCCGAGGAAAUAAAUCGUCUGCACGGUGUAUUAUUUGAUACCAUAGGCCAUAUGCAUACGACGUACUAUACAAGGAUAGAUCAUAUGUGAUAUUAGAAAUUUCGUAGUCUUUACAUCCUUCAAUAAUCAAAACAAACACAUUUCUCUGAGUCCCAUUUGGCUUUGUCCAGAAAUGCCGCCC